GUCUACGGCUAUAUCACGUUUAAAUCACCGGUUCUCGUCCGAUCACCAAAAAUAAGCAACGUCGAGCCCGAUUAGUAAUUGGAUGGGUGACCGCCUGGGAAUACCGGGUGCUGAAGGCU
rnacentral:rRNA from 1 species